UUUCUUAUUCAACAGACUAGCUUUUAUUGAUUAAUUUUUUUCAUAAUGGGGUGGGUUGGGAAACUCAUUCCCCAAUGAAGGUGGGGAUGGGGAAUUACCGAUUUGAAUAUUACGGGAUGGGAAUCACCGAUUUGAAUAUUGCAGGUAUGAAGGCAUGAAUAGAGGAAAAAUGCUUAACGAGACAGGGAUUGUACUCACCUCUGAUUCGACCUAUCGCCACCACUCGUUGCUCGCUCUCACACCCUCAAGCCACAUCAUCUGUCUCCAUAUUCAGCUCUCAAUUGGUGCUGCCUUAUCAAAUCGCAGAGCUGCUUGGGGAUAAUUAACUCUAUGUAAGCUUUCUCGGUAUCCAAUUAGGGAUUUUUUGUAAAUUUGAAAUUAGGGUUUUGUGUGAAUUCAAAUUGGGGUUCGGUCAAGGGUUUUCGAAAUUGAAAUUGUGGUUUGUCUCUCUCAGAUAGCCUGAAUUUGUUGGGUCCUGUGAUUUCAAGUAGUGUUGUGUUUUAAAUUGAAUUGGGGUUUCUGUAGAUGGUGAAUUGUGGCGGUUUAGGGUUUAUGUACAUGUCAAAUCUCUGUUUAAUGUUUCCCAAUUUACCUAGAGUAUCCUGGAAAAUGUUGUCACAUUCACAUACACUUGUUUUACUGCAUAGAGUGGGUUACUUUAAAUGGCUAUGUUUUGCUGCAUAGAUUCAUUUCAUGUAUGCAUACAUUUCCUUUUAAAUUAUUUGGUAUGAAGUAGCUGAUUUUAGGUUAUGUUUUUGGUAUGCUUGCUGGUAGUUCUGUUUUUCAUUUGGUAUGCUUGCUGGUAGUUCUAAUUGCAAUUUGUUUUAUUGCCGCUGGGUAUUCUGUUUUAUUGAUUAGUUUCUGUUGCAGAGGUCGUAGAAAGAGUGGCAGUUCUGGCUGAGAUAUAGAGAUUCUAUACUGAUACAUGACCAAAAUAUCAAUUUCACCCCCUUAUUUGUUUUCUUUUCUGGGUUAAGAAGUUUUUCCAAUAUCAACAUGCAACAGGCAAAUCAGAAUUACAGUAGAAAAUAAAUUUGUCUUUACUGAGAGGCCAUAAAAAAUACAGGUGGAUGAAUUGAAGCAAGACCUGGGGGACUUGAAGAAUCUAUCAGAGCAUGUUACCAAACAGAUUGCAAAGCAUGAA